AUCCUGGCUCAGGAUGAACGCUGGCGGCGUGCUUAACACAUGCAAGUCGAACGUGAGAGGUAGCAAUAUCUUGAAAGUGGCGAACGGGUGAGUAACACGUAGGUGACCUGCCUCGGAGUGGGGGAUAACAGUUAGAAAUGACUGCUAAUACCGCAUGAAUCCACGGGAUUGGGAAAUUCGGUGGAGAAAACUCUGGUGCUUCGAGAGGGGCCUGCGGUCGAUUAGCUAGUUGGUGGGGUAACGGCCCACCAAGGCGACGAUCGAUAGCUGGUCUGAGAGGACGAUCAGCCACACUGGGACUGAGACACGGCCCAGACUCCUACGGGAGGCAGCAGUGGGGAAUUUUGGACAAUGGGCGCAAGCCUGAUCCAGCAAUGCCGCGUGCAGGAAGAAGGGCCUUC
rnacentral:rRNA from 1 species